GAUGAACGCUGGCGGCGUGCCUAAUACAUGCAAGUCGAGCGAACAGACGAGGAGCUUGCUCCUCUGACGUUAGCGGCGGACGGGUGAGUAACACGUGGAUAACCUACCUAUAAGACUGGGAUAACUUCGGGAAACCGGAGCUAAUACCGGAUAAUAUAUUGAACCGCAUGGUUCAAUAGUGAGAGACGGUUUUGCUGUCACUUAUAGAUGGAUCCGCGCCGCAUUAGCUAGUUGGUAAGGUAACGGCUUACCAAGGCAACGAUGCGUAGCCGACCUGAGAGGGGGAUCGGCCACACUGGAACUGAGACACGGUCCAGACUCCUACGGGAGGCAGCAGUAGGGAAUCUUCCGCAAUGGGCGAAAGCCUGACGGAGCAACGCCGCGUGAGUGAUGAAGGUCUUCGGAUCGUAAAACUCUGUUAUUAGGGAAGAACAAAUGUGUAAGUAACUAUGCACGUCUUGACGGUACCUAAUCAGAAAGCCACGGCUAACUACGUG
rnacentral:rRNA from 1 species